AGUGAACGCUGGCGGUAGGCCUAACACAUGCAAGUCGAACGGCAGCACAGUAAGAGCUUGCUCUUACGGGUGGCGAGUGGCGGACGGGUGAGGAAUACAUCGGAAUCUACUUUUUCGUGGGGGAUAACGUAGGGAAACUUACGCUAAUACCGCAUACGACCUACGGGUGAAAGCAGGGGAUCUUCGGACCUUGCGCGAUUGAAUGAGCCGAUGUCGGAUUAGCUAGUUGGCGGGGUAAAGGCCCACCAAGGCGACGCUCCGUAGCUGGUCUGAGAGGAUGAUCAGCCACACAGGAACUGAGACACGGUCCAGACUCCUACGGGAGGCAGCAGUGGGGAAUAUUGGACAAUGGGCGCAAGCCUGAUCCAGCCAUACCGCGUGGGUGAAGAAGGCCUUCGGGUUGUAAAGCCCUUUUGUUGGGAAAGAAAAGCAGCAGGUUAAUACCCCGCUGUUCUGACGGUACCCAAAGAAUAAGCACCGGCUAACUUCGUG
rnacentral:rRNA from 1 species